UCUCCUGCCUCAGCAUCCCUGAUAGCUGGGAUUACAGGCUGCUGCCGCUUUGCAAAAUUUCGUCCUGUGAUGUGAGCCAUUUAGCAAGAACGGGACACAUGGCUGGGCGCGGUGGCUCACACCUGCAAUCCCAGCACUUUGGGACGCCGAGGCGGGUGGAUCACCUAAGGUCGAGAGUUCAAGACCAGGCUGACCAUUAUGGAGAAACCCCGUCUCUACUAAAAAUACAGAAAAUUAGCUGGGUAUGGUGACGCUUGCCUGUAAUCCCAGCUACGCCGGAGGCUGAGGCGGGAGAACCGCUUGAACCCAGGAGGCAGAGGUUGCGGUGGCCUGAGAUCGUGCCAUUGCACUCCAGCCUGGGUAACAAGAACAAAACUCCGUCUCAAGAAAAAAAAAAAGGACAGGACACAAGCACAUGUUUCCAUUAAGUUUGUUUCCAUGUCCACAGCUUAGUCUGCAAACUGGGAAGUCCCCUCGUUGGGCAUCAUGGUGGCACAAUCCUGCCCGCUUUCUAAAACAACUGAGCACAUGAACCCAGUGUGCAACAUUUAGGAAACCCUGCAUUUAGGACGCUAGAUCUUGUUCUGAACACAGACUCGAGGUUUUGGGAUGCACUUGAAGGCAAUAUUAUCCCAACUUUUCAGAUAAUUUACAAGUGGUAAAGGCUUCAGGCUGGCCCAGAGCCUAUGGCAGAAAGCGGCCACAACCACCCGCAGAGGGCCUGUCAGUCACCGAAGCUAUGAGGGAAGCGAUUAUCGGGAGGCCUCCUCAUGCCCUGAUGGCAGGGAUCCCUGAGAUCCCAGCUGAGAGAGACUCCAUCCCCAACCCCUACUUUAUCUCCGAACCUUUAAGGAGUCCUGCAUUUCUGGUUUGGUUGGUUUGCUUGCUUCAUAGUUGGUACCUAACUCUUUUUUAUUUUUUAUUUUUUUUGAGGCGGAAUCUCACUCUUUUGCCCAGGUUGGAGUGCAAUGGCGUGAUCUUGGCUCCUGCAACCGCUGCCUCCUGGGUUCAAGCAAUUCUCCUGUCUCAACCUCCCAAGUAGCUGGGAUUACAGGCACGCGCCACCAGGCCCAGCUAAUUUUUGUAUUUUUAGUGGAGAUGGGGUUUCACCGUGUUGGACAGGCUGGUCUCGAACUCCUGACCUCGUGAUCCGCCCGCCUCGGCCUCCCAAAGUGCUGGGAUUACAGGUGUGAGCCACCGCGCCUGGCCAGUUGGUACCUAACUCUUAACACCUUUCCUUGCCGUGACGUCCAAGCCACCCCCUUCCCACAACCCCUGUUCCUCUGGGGAAUACACUGUUUUUGCACUUUACCUCCCUACCAGCAGCUCUUUCCAGAUUGCAGGGGCGAGCUGGUGGGAAGCUUGCAGAUUGUUUCGCACUGCCGUGUAAUCUGUGUGCUUGUCACUGGGGUCUGUUCUUCCUUGAGUUGGUACAGUGAAAUAUGCAUUGAGAGUCCCAGGGCAGUCAUUGCCACUGUACUUUGUGGGCUGGCUUGCCUUCUUUAUUAUUUCUUCUUUAAAAUAAAAGAAAAUGGGAGUUUGUUCCGAUACAGGUC
rnacentral:lncRNA from 1 species